AAGACUACGUUGUCAGGGAUCAUUUCUGGACUUCAUUCCUGGAGAAGUUUCUCCGAUCUUGAAGCGUACUGGAAACCCCAAGGAAGGGGCUCAGAGUUUCCUCCUGAGAGUGAAACCAGCUCUUGGUGUUGCUUUACUGCAACUGCCUUUUACCAUUGAUGAUUGUUCUUCUCUUUCCUACUUUGGGAGGGUGAGAGGAGGGAAAUGCAGUCUGAGAGCU
rnacentral:snoRNA from 1 species